AUAAAUUUUAUAAAAAGGAAAAAAAUAUCUGUUCUUAUCCGCUUAAUAUCUGAUACGUCUCCUAAUGGAUGGAGACAUCGAUAUUAAACUGAUUUUUAGAAUGGGAUGAGGUGCCAAGGAGCUUGCUCCGCCCUCAUCACGAGUUGACCCGGUAUUGCAGUUCCUCCGGGAAUGGCCCACCACUC
rnacentral:snRNA from 1 species